rnacentral:rRNA from 1 species
GACGAACGCUGGCGGCGUGCUUAACACAUGCAAGUCGAACGGAAAGGCCUGCUUUCCCUUGUGGAUUGCGGGUACUCGAGUGGCGAACGGGUGAGUAACACGUGAGUGAUCUGCCCCCAACUUGGGUAUAAGCCUGGGAAACUGGGUCUAAUUCCCGAUAGGACUGCAGGGUGGUGCCUGUGGUGGAAAACGAUUUUCUAGUGGUUGGGGAUGAGCUCGCGGCCUAUCAGCUUGUUGGUGGGGUAAUGGCCUACCAAGGCGGCGACGGGUAGCCGGCCUGGGAGGGUGGACGGCCACAUUGGGACUGAGAUACGGCCCAGACUCCUACGGGAGGCAGCAGUGGGGAAUAUUGCACAAUGGGCGGAAGCCUGAUGCAACGACGCCGCGUGGGGGAUGACGGCCUUCGGGUUGUAAACUCCUUUCGACCGCGAGGAAGCCACCUGGUUGGAAGGGUGGUGACGGUAGUGGUAGAAGAAGCACCGGCUAACUACGUG